rnacentral:lncRNA from 1 species
UCCCACUUCUGCGGCUUCUGGCAGAGUUUUGGGAGGAGAUAACAAUCUGAGAGAUGCUUUUCCUGGCUAGAGAUUUGAUUGCAGUGGAUGAAUGCACGGUAAAGUUGCACCAUCUUGGCUUCACCCGGACAUGCAUGAAGGUUGACCUAUCCCUAUCAUUGAGGCCAGGGUGCUUGUCAAGCGGCCGAUCGGCAUUUUCUAGCAGAGGUUCGUGUACAAGAAUUUUGAGGGGUUGUAUUUCUACUGCGGCCACUUCCACCCACCGA